UACGGAGGGUGCGAGCGUUGUCCGGAAUCAUUGGGCGUAAAGGGCGCGUAGGUGGCCACUUCAAGCGUGCGGUGAAAGUCGGGGGCUCAACCCCUGAUCGGCCGUCGAAACUGGCGAACUGGAGUGUGGCAGAGGGGGGGUGGAAUUCCGCGUGUAGCAGUGAAAUGCGUAGAUAUGCGGAGGAACACCGAUGGCGAAGGCAAUCCCCUGGGCCUGCACUGACGCUCAUGCACGAAAGCGUGGGGAGC
rnacentral:rRNA from 1 species